UACGGGGGGAGCAAGCGUUGUUCGGAUUUACUGGGCGUAAAGGGCGCGUAGGCGGUCAGCACAAGUCAGUUGUGAAAUCUCCGGGCUUAACCCGGAAAGGUCAACUGAUACUGUGCGACUAGAGUGCGGGAGAGGAAAGUGGAAUUCCUGGUGUAGCGGUGAAAUGCGUAGAUAUCAGGAGGAACACCGGUGGUGUAGACGGCUUUCUGGACCGUAACUGACGCUGAGACACGAAAGCGUGGGUAGCAAACAGG
rnacentral:rRNA from 1 species